rnacentral:rRNA from 1 species
AAACCAACAGGGAUUGCCCCAGUAACGGCGAGUGAAGCGGCAACAGCUCAAAUUUGAAAUCUGGCCCCCCGCCCGAGUUGUAAUUUGGAGAGGAUGCUUUUGGCGCGGCGCCGUCCGAGUUCCUUGGAACAGGACGCCACAGAGGGUGAGAGCCCCGUACGGACGGACGCCUAGCCUAUACAAAGCUCCUUCGACGAGUCGAGUAGUUUGGGAAUGCUGCUCAAAAUGGGAGGUAAAUUUCUUCUAAAGCUAAAUACCGGCCAGAGACCGAUAGCGCACAAGUAGAGUGAUCGAAAGAUGAAAAGCACUUUGAAAAGAGGGUUAAAAAGUACGUGAAAUUGUUGAAAGGGAAGCGCCUGUGACCAGACUUGCGCCCCGUGGACCACCCGGCGUUCUCGCCGGUGCACUCCGCGGGGCGCAGGCCAGCAUCGGUUUUCCUAGGGGGACAAAGGCUGCGGGAACGUAGCUCCUUCGGGAGUGUUAUAGCCCGCGGCGGCAUGCCCCUGGGGGGACCGAGGACCGCGCUUCGGCAAGGAUGCUGGCGUAAUGGUCANCAGCGAC